GACGAACGCUGGCGGCGUGCUUAACACAUGCAAGUCGAACGGUGAAGCGCCUUCCUUUUUGGUGGGUGUGGAUGCGUGGCGAACGGGUGCGUAACACGUGCGUAACCUUCCCCCUUCUUCUGGAUCACCGCAUGAAAGUGUGUCUAAUACGGGAUCUUCUGGUUCUUUCGCAUGAUGGGUCUGUUACAGCUAUUGUUUCUGUGUGCGAUGGGCUCGCGGUCUAUCAUCUUGUUGGUGGUGUGCUGGCCUACCAAGGCGGUGACGGGUAGCUGGCCUGAGAGGGGGGACGGUCACGAGGGGGCUGAGACACAGACCAGAAUUGUGAGGGAGGCAGCAGUGGGGAAUAUUGCAGAAGGGGCGAAAGCCGGAUGCAGCGACGCCGCGUGAGGGAGGGAGGCCGUGGGGUGGUGAACCUCUUUCGCGAGUGAAGCAGGCCUGCCUUGUGUGUGGGUGGGUGGACGGUAGAUGGAUAAGAAGCGCCGGCUAACUACGUG
rnacentral:rRNA from 1 species